rnacentral:rRNA from 1 species
GACGAACGCUGGCGGCGUGCCUAAUACAUGCAAGUAGAACGCUGAAGGAGGAGCUUGCUUCUCUGGAUGAGUUGCGAACGGGUGAGUAACGCAUAGGUAACCUGCCUGGUAGCGGGGGAUAACUAUUGGAAACGAUAGCUAAUACCGCAUAAGAGUAGAUGUUGCAUGACAUUUGCUUAAAAGGUGCAAUUGCAUCACUACCAGAUGGACCUGCGUUGUAUUAGCUAGUUGGUGGGGUAACGGCUCACCAAGGCGACGAUACAUAGCCGACCUGAGAGGGGGAUCGGCCACACUGGGACUGAGACACGGCCCAGACUCCUACGGGAGGCAGCAGUAGGGAAUCUUCGGCAAUGGACGGAAGUCUGACCGAGCAACGCCGCGUGAGUGAAGAAGGGUUUCGGAUCGUAAAGCUCUGUUGUAAGAGAAGAACGAGUGUGAGAGUGGAAAGUUCACACUGUGACGGUAUCUUACCAGAAAGGGACGGCUAACUACGUG